CUUGACCGACCCCAGCAGCAGCGGCUCGUCGCGGUCCUGGCCGUAGGUGGCCAGCAGCGCCUGUGCCUC
rnacentral:antisense_RNA from 1 species